AGCCUGAGCUGUGUUCUGGGACCCCGCUUUACUGAAAUAAGAUAACCUUCAAUAUUUUAGCCCAGCAAAUCUCAUUGCCCCACAGCAUAAAACCCAGGGUGAGAGGCUUUCUGGGGUCCCUCAGCUGAUACAAGUGGGGUAUGCAUGGAGGGCACUCCGUCUAUCCUGGGCAAAUUUCUUGAGCCUUGCAGACUGGCUUACAAUGUGUCACAGGCUUCUGUUGUCUUGCUGCCUAUCUGUAAGUAGUAAAAAGUCUCUUCAUGCAGCUUGUUGUAUGCACAGGUGUUUUCUCUCACUGGAGUCAAACAAGUUGGUAACCAGCGCACAGUGAACCAGCUUCACAGCAAGAGGAGAAGGAAUUCCAGAGCUCAAAAUGGAAAAAGGAACAGAGUAAGAACAAUGGCUUCAGGAGGAAAAUGCAAUGAUAGAAGCUUUGAAAGAAAGACGACUAGAAU
rnacentral:lncRNA from 1 species